AGAAGCCACACCCUCAGCUUAGUAGAAAGCGAUAGUACACAACAAGAGCAGCUGAUUCAGAUUCGUGCGAAGGUAACACGUCCCUUUAAUUUCUUCUUUUAGGACAGAUUCAAUUCUGAAAUGUCUUAAACCGUGCAGCUGAUGAAAUUUGCAUAUUGCAAGACAAGUUAGCCUAAUGUGGGUGUUUCUUCAGGCUGCAUACGUGGAAAGCUGGCAUGGCAAUUUGUUUUUGUUCUUUAGUACUGUAGAUAUUCUUUACUUGGAACAUUUUUGACAUUCCUUUUUUGAUUUGUGAACUGUAUUGAAGAUAAUAUCAUGAGUGAAAACAUGUCUUAAUGUCUUUGUUUAGAUGGGUGCAAUAUUCAACCUGCUUCAGCAGUAUAGACUGGAGUCUUACUACAAUCAGUUUUACCAGUUGGGCGUAAAAGAUGAAAGAGACUUCUUGGAUGGCAUAACAGAGGAGGAUCUAAAUAACAUUGGUUUAAGUCAUGUGGAAAAGAACCGUUUUUCAGCAAUGAAAAACUUCAUUCAAAGACUCGGAACUCCAUUGCGCCAAGUUCAAACUGUGAUGCCUGUGCAAAAAUCAGUGGGAUCAUUCUGUCUACAGUACACGUACCCAAAGUGCCCUCAACCAAAACAUAUCAACGAUAUGGAUCCAGCACAAAACACAGUGGAAUGUCUGAUGUUGAGGAUCUGUCAUCUUGAAAAUGUUGGCAACAACAUAGGAGUCUGUCUCUAUACAAAUGAUGGGAUGCCCUUGACAGAUGAUCCUUUCUUCAACACAUGGUCUUUGAAAGACAGACAUAUUCCAAAUGGAGCUGUCAUCUAUGCCAUAUUUACACCAAGGGAAAACCUGAAACAGGUUCCUCAACUACCAAAACAAAGAGCUGGUGAAACCUAUGGAGACAGUGUGGUUCGAUGCCACAUCAUGCUGAAGGGAGACUAUGAGGUGACAGUGAACUUGGCAAGUGACAACAUGACCAAUCUGAGACUCAAACUGGCAGAUGCAAGUGCAAUCCCAACACAUGUCCUUCAUUACAACUGCAGAGGUCAGAAGUCUGGUGGUGGCACACUGCAGAGCUGUGGGAUCUCUGAGGGGUCAACAGUUGCCUUUUCUUUGUCCUCGUUUUCUGAUGAGACUUCAUACAGUGAGACUGUCUUCAUUAAUGAUGUUGAACCAUCCGUGAAACAAACCCAGAUUGGAAUCAGUGUGUUCUUGUCUUCACUUUAUGCUGUUGUAAGUUUUUAG
rnacentral:lncRNA from 1 species